ACUCAAAGGAAUAGACGGGGGCCCGCACAAGCAGUGGAUUAUGUGGUUUAAUUCGAAGCAACGCGAAGAACCUUACCAGGGCUUGACAUGGAGACGACAGCGCUAGAGAUAGCGCGUCCCUUCGGGGCGUCUCACACAGGUGGUGCAUGGUUGUCGUCAGCUCGUGUCGUGAGAUGUUGGGUUAAGUCCCGCAACGAGCGCAACCCCUAUUGUUAGUUGCUACGCGAGAGCACUUUAGCGAGACUGCCGUUAACAAAACGGAGGAAGGCGGGGACGACGUCAAAUCAUCAUGCCCCUAAUGUCCUGGGCUACACACGUAAUACAAUGGCGUCAAACAGAGGGAAGCAAGACCGCGAGGUGGAGCAAACCCCGAAAAGGCGUCUCAGUUCGGAUCGCAGGCUGCAACCCGCCUGCGUGAAGUCGGAAUUGCUAGUAAUCGCGGAUCAUCAUGCCGCGGUGAAUACUGUUCCCGGGCCUUGUACACACCGCCCGU
rnacentral:rRNA from 1 species